AAAUUGAAGAGUUUGAUCAUGGCUCAGAUUGAACGCUGGCGGCAGGCCUAACACAUGCAAGUCGAGCGGUAGCACAGAGAGCUUGCUCUCGGGUGACGAGCGGCGGACGGGUGAGUAAUGUCUGGGAAACUGCCUGAUGGAGGGGGAUAACUACUGGAAACGGUAGCUAAUACCGCAUAAUGUCGCAAGACCAAAGUGGGGGACCUUCGGGCCUCAUGCCAUCAGAUGUGCCCAGAUGGGAUUAGCUAGUAGGUGGGGUAACGGCUCACCUAGGCGACGAUCCCUAGCUGGUCUGAGAGGAUGACCAGCCACACUGGAACUGAGACACGGUCCAGACUCCUACGGGAGGCAGCAGUGGGGAAUAUUGCACAAUGGGCGCAAGCCUGAUGCAGC
rnacentral:rRNA from 2 species